UACUAGAUAUUGAAUAUAAUCAUUAUGAUAAUGGCUAAGAUUUAUUAAGCAUGUGUUAUGUGCUUUAUGGUGCUAGGAACUUACCACGUAUUUCCUAAUUGAAUCUUCACAAAACCUUAUGAAGGCAGCUCUCUCAAAUGUUAGUGUCUAUGUGAAUCCACCUUGGGAUAUUAGUAAAAUGAGUUUGUGAUGCAGAAGACCUGAGGAAGCACCUGAAAUUCUGAUGUUCUAUCUCCCAGGAGGAGGAGCUCAGCCAUUAUCUUGUCUUUACCGAAGUCCUAGGCACUCCCAUGCCCUCAGAGCCUCAUUUUGAACCCAAGGACUUAGGGAUGCUAUUUUCUUACAUCAAGCAGCUUCCUCCCAGCAAAAGAAUUCUGGUGACAGUAGUGAAGAUAAUUUUCAUUCCUGCUUACGGAAUGACCAAACAACAGCAAAGAGGAGGAGAAGAAUGAAAUAAUGACAACCGAAGGAAAAGACUGAUGACUCCUUAAGAAUGGAUCUUCAUAAGGGAAUGAGGGCUGAGGGGUCCAUUUCCUAAACUACUCACCUUAUUGACUUCCUACAGCAACACCAUACAGAAAGCUCCACCUUGAGGGGAAGAUGUGAGAAUCCUGAAGUGGCAAAAUAUUGGGUGAUGACAGCCUUUGAGGUUGUGAGAGUAAAACAGAAGCAAAUAAAGUAUCAUUUUUACCCUGUGAAGAAAGUUCCCUUUUAAGACUUUUGUAAAUGAUUAAUAUUUCCAUUAUGUUCCAGGAAAAAAAAAAGAUUUGUGUUUGACUGAAAAAAGAAUGUGUAGAACAGAUGAGAAGGAAGAGAUAGUCUAGCCACAUCCAAGAGACCUGUAAAUUGGGUACAGUGGUGUGAAUGGUGUAACCAGUUAUAAAAGAAUGCUACCUGGGGAAGUCUUUGCUGUCUUCCUGAAACAGAGGAGGCGAUAACCAUCCCUUGGAAGCGUCCACUUCUAUUGAAGAUUGGGUGAAUAAAUCUGUGCCUACUGCAACUC